UACAGAGGGUGCAAGCGUUGCUCGGAAUCAUUGGGCGUAAAGGGCAAGUAGGUGGUCUCAUUUGUCUAGGGUGAAAUCCUUGAGCUUAACUCAAGAAGUGCCCUAGAAACGGUGGGACUAGAGUUCUGGAGAGGGUCGUGGAAUUCCCGGUGUAGCGGUGAAAUGCGCAGAUAUCAGGAGGAACACCGGUGGCGAAGGCGGGUCUCUGGGCCGAUACUGACGCUGAGGAGCGAAAGCGUGGGGAGCGAACAGG
rnacentral:rRNA from 1 species